GGAGGGAUGGCCGAGUGGUUGAAGGCGCCGGUCUUGAAAACCGGAGAGCGAUAGCUCCGUGGGUUCGAAUCCUACUCCCUCCGCCA
rnacentral:tRNA from 1 species